rnacentral:misc_RNA from 1 species
GAUGAAGAACGUAGCGAAAUGCGAUAAGUAAUGUGAAUUGCAGAAUUCAGUGAAUCAUCGAAUCUUUGAACGCACAUUGCGCCCGCCAGUAUUCUGGCGGGCAUGCCAGUUCGAGCGUCAUUUCAACCAUCAAGCCCCAGGCUUGUGUUGGAGCCCUGCGGCUGCCGCAGCCUCCCAAAACCAGUGGCGGGCUCGCUAUCACACCGAGUGCAGUAGUUUACUCUUCGCUCAGGGCGUGUGGCGGGUGCUAGCCGUAAAACCCCCAACUUCUCAAGGUUGACCUCGGAUCAGGUAGGAAUACCCGCUGAACUUAAGCAUAUCAAUAAGCGGAGGA